rnacentral:misc_RNA from 1 species
CGGGAGAGGUAGCUCGGCGACCAAGAGAGGAACGCCGGGCAGAGACGCGCAGGCACAUGGGCUGGGCGAACUCGGCAAGACUCCAUGGGAGGGCUCGGCACAGUGGAGCAGGGAGGAAGGAGAGGGGUGCGUGCCAGGGCUGGGAGCUGGGCGACCUGCACAGGGAAGAACGCCAUGGAGGGGUCUUGAGAAAUCGGCGCGCGUCGAUGGCAAACGCAGGGCGCGACGGAGGGACUCGAGCGAGCUAGAGAAAGCGCCAGUAGAGGGAUUUGUAGGAGCUCAAGGGUGGUGGCUUGAGCGGCAUUGGGAUGACGACGGCGGAAUCUUCACCGGCGGUGAGCGGCGGGAUAAGGCCAGACGACCAGAUUUUUCCAUCCAGCGCGUCGGCUGGAAUAUCUGGAGCGCUGAGAGCAAGUGUCCAGGCGGUGUGCUGGUGAUCCACAGAAACAACCAGAGCAGACGCUGGAAAUCAUCGCUUGAGGAGAAGGC